rnacentral:rRNA from 1 species
UACAGGGGGGGCAAGCGUUGUUCGGAAUUACUGGGCGUAAAGGGCCAGUAGGCGGCCAACUAAGUCACACGUGAAAUCCCCAGGCUUAACCUGGGAACUGCGUGUGAUACUGGAUGGCUUGAAUUCGGGAGAGGGAUGCAGAAUUCCAGGUGUAGCGGUGAAAUUCGUAGAUAUCGGGAGGAACACCAGUGGCGAAGGCGGCGAUCUGGGAAGAUACUGACGCUGAGGUGCGAAAGCGUGGGGAGCAAACAGG